rnacentral:rRNA from 1 species
CGGUAGUUUGAUCAUGGCUACAGAACGAACGCUGGCGGCAUGCCUAACACAUGCAAGUCGAACGAGACCUUCGGGUCUAGUGGCGCACGGGUGCGUAACGCGUGGGAACCUGCCUUUAGGUUCGGAAUAACAGUGAGAAAUUACUGCUAAUACCGGAUGAUGUCUUCGGACCAAAGAUUUAUCGCCUUUAGAUGGGCCCGCGUUGGAUUAGCUAGUUGGUGGGGUAAAGGCCUACCAAGGCGACGAUCCAUAGCUGGUCUGAGAGGAUGAUCAGCCACACUGGGACUGAGACACGGCCCAGACUCCUACGGGAGGCAGCAGUGGGGAAUCUUGCGCAAUGGGCGAAAGCCUGACGCAGCCAUGCCGCGUGAAUGAUGAAGGUCUUAGGAUUGUAAAAUUCUUUCACCGGGGACGAUAAUGACGGUACCCGGAGAAGAAGCCCCGGCUAACUUCGUG